rnacentral:rRNA from 1 species
GACGAACGCUGGCGGCGUGCUUAACACAUGCAAGUCGAACGGAAAGGCCCUGCUUGCAGGGUACUCGAGUGGCGAACGGGUGAGUAACACGUGGGUGAUCUGCCCUGCACUUCGGGAUAAGCCUGGGAAACUGGGUCUAAUACCGGAUAGGAGCCAUUUUUAGUGUGAUGGUUGGAAAGUUUUUUCGGUGUAGGAUGAGCUCGCGGCCUAUAAGCUUGUUGGUGGGGUAAUGGCCUACCAAGGCGGCGACGGGUAGCCGGCCUGAGAGGGUGGACGGCCACAUUGGGACUGAGAUGCGGCCCAGACUCCUACGGGAGGAAGCAGUGGGGAAGAUUGCACAAUGGGCGCAAGCCGGAUGCAGCGACGCCGCGUGUGGGAUGACGGCCUUCGGGUUGAAAACUCCUUUCGCUAGGGACGAAGCUUUUUGUGACGGUACCUAGAGAAGAAGUACCGGCUAACUACGUG